UCUCUCUCCAAGUCACCAUUCUUCAUUUUCUGUCUAUCUAGGGAGAUAGUUGGGAGAUGCAGAAAGAGAAGAUUAUUGGUGUCAGAACUGCUUCUGUGAAUGAAUGAACUCUCUAGCUGUCUUGAGAAACCACUUGGAGCCACUGUCUGUGAUACAGAGCUAGAGAACAGGCCUUCAUUCCAGUUUGAAUGGAUAAGUAGAAAAAUUCUCAACACUGAGUUUCUGGACAACCUUCAGCCAUGAAGAUCCUUUAUCUGCUCUUUGCAGUCUUCUUUCUGGUGCUCCAGGGUGCGCCAGAAUUCUCACAGGCUAAGAAUCGUGACUUGAGAUGCACACUCCAGGGGGGCAAAUGUUUCUAUAUCAGAUGUCCCUACGAUGAUUCAACAAUGAUUGGAAGAUGCAGUAAUUGGGGUGUUUGCUGUCUCUGGAGAUCCUGAAGUGCUGUUGUUUAAGUCACAAAGAACCUUGUGAGCUGGAGAAGUUCCAGAAGGGAGUCCUUGUAUCCCCCACAUAAGAGUGGUUACCUCCAUUUAAUAAAAACAAGUUGGU